UACGAAGGGGGCUAGCGUUGUUCGGAUUUACUGGGCGUAAAGCGCACGUAGGCGGAUCGUUAAGUUAGGGGUGAAAUCCUGGAGCUCAACUCCAGAACUGCCUCUAAUACUGGCGAUCUAGAGUCCGGAAGAGGUGAGUGGAACUCCUAGUGUAGAGGUGGAAUUCGUAGAUAUUAGGAAGAACACCAGUGGCGAAGGCGGCUCACUGGUCCGGUACUGACGCUGAGGUGCGAAAAGCGUGGGGGGAGCAAAA
rnacentral:rRNA from 1 species